rnacentral:rRNA from 1 species
CCUACGGGAGGCAGCAGUGGGGGAUAUUGCACAAUGGGGGAAACCCUGAUGCAGCGACGCCGCGUGUGGGAAGACGGUCCUCUGGAUUGUAAACCCCUGUCCCCAGGGACGAAGAUGACGGUAUCUGGGGAGGAAGCUCCGGCUAACUACGUGCCAGCAGCCGCGGUAAUACGUAGGGGGCGAGGGUUGUCAGGAAUUACUGGGUGUAAAGGGAGCGUAGGCGGGGAUGAAAGUUGGGUGGCAAAACUACCGGCUCAACUGGUAGUCGCACUCAAAACUGCAGCUCUUGAGUGAAGUAGAGGCAGGCGGAAUUCCUAGUGUAGCGGUGAAAUGCGUAGAUAUUAGGAGGAACACCAGUGGCGAAGGCGGCCUGCUGGGCGUUUACUGACGCUGAGGCUCGAAAGUGUGGGGAGCAAACAGGAUUAGAUACCCCUGUAGUC